ensembl:snRNA U6 U6 spliceosomal RNA
CUGGCUUCCUAGCAUGAUGUACCAAAAUUGGAACCAUACGGAGAAGAUUAGCCUGGCCCCUGAGCAAGGAUGACAUGCAAAUUCAUGAAGCAUUCCAUAUUUUA